GUCAACGCACGUUCGGGUCACUGCGCCAGUAUAUUUACGACCCAGACUUGAGAUUUUUUACAUAUUCUUUCUUUCACACAUCAUGGUUUCUUUUCAAACCGGAUUCGCUUAUCAAUUAGUUUUAUCAUGUUGGAUAGUGUUUUGUGCAACAUCAGCACAAGACACCACACCACUGCGACGGAUUUUAAUACCGACAUCUCGACCAUGGAAUCCUUUUAAUGGAAAUACUAACUAUGACCAAACUCAACCGCUGCCAGACUCAAACAAUCAACCAUACUGGGGUAGACGUCACUGGGGUGGGUGCCCUAUGUGCGGUGGUGGAUGGGGUCCUGGCAGAGGGUGGGGACCGGGCGGAGGUUGGGGUCGUGGCGGCAGAGGAUGGGGCCCUGGCGGUGGAGGGGGUCCUGGUGGCAGAGGAUGGGGUCCUGGCGGCGGAGGAGGGGGUCCUGGCGGUAGAGGAUGGGGACCUGGCUGGAGAUGGGGUGGUAGAGGAGGACGAGGGUGGGGACCUGGCUGGAGAUGGGGAGCUGGAGGUUAUGGUACCAAUGGCAAUGGAUUGAGCAAUACCAACACCCCAGUACAGUGAGAAAAGUCCAUCUUUCAGCAUCCUGAGGAUUUGAUGUUCAUCCAGACUGGAUACUGGCGCGUGUUUACAAGACGAUUUCAACAAAAUAAGAUGGAGUACUAUAAAAAGUUUAACUUAAAAACUAUCCUUUAAAACAGACAAUAACAUAACACCAAUGUUAAAGAAAGUUACUUAUUAUUCUCAUGUCAGUAUGUUACUUGUUUAUUAAAAAUACCAAUAAUUGUUGUUGUGUUCUUCAAAUCGCAAAACCAUAAAACUGAUACUUCAACAAAA